UAUAUAUAUAUGUGUGUGUGUGUAUGUAUAUAUAUGUAUGUAUGUAUAUAUGCGGCGAAUGGAGAAGGCGGAGACUUAAACCAAUUUAUUAAAUGGGCACCAAUUUAUACCCGCUUUCUUCUUCCACUCCAAACUUCGCGCUCCAUUCGUCGUCUUACAAUUUGAUUCGCUAUAAAGACACGACAAAUUUCGAGCUCUGAUGCUUUUCUGAUCUCUCUCCGACAAUGGAGAUCUUCUUCUAUCUCGUUUUUGGGGCACUGGGUGUCAUUGUUGCAGCCAUCGAGCUGAGUAAAACCAACAGGGACAGGAUCAAUGCCACCACCGCUUUCAAUUCAUUCAAGAACAAUUACCUUCUUGUUUACUCUCUCAUGAUGGCUGGGGAUUGGUUGCAGGGCCCUUAUGUGUACUAUCUUUACAGUCAAUAUGGCUUUGGAAAAGGGGAGAUUGGACAGCUUUUUAUAGCUGGUUUUGGCUCCUCUAUGUUGUUUGGGACAAUUGUCGGAUCACUUGCUGAUAAACAAGGUCGAAAGAGAGCUUGUGUGACGUAUUGUGUCACUUAUAUACUGAGUUGCAUCACAAAGCAUUCACCCCAAUAUAGAAUUUUGAUGUUGGGCCGUAUUUUGGGAGGCAUUGCCACUUCUCUCCUCUUUUCUGCAUUCGAGUCGUGGCUUAUUGCUGAACAUAACAAGAGGGGCUUUGAGCAACAAUGGCUAUCAGUUACUUUCUCAAAGGCAAUAUUUCUUGGCAAUGGUCUUAUUGCCAUUUUAUCUGGGCUUUUUGGGAACGUACUAGUUCACUCCUUGGAUCUUGGGGCGGUAGCGCCUUUUGAUGCGGCUUCUUGCUUUCUUGCCCUUGGUAUGAUCAUCAUCUUAUCUUCGUGGACAGAGAACUAUGGAGAUCCAUCUGAAAACAAAGACCUUCUCACCCAAUUCAGGGGUGCAGCAGUGGCCAUUGCUUCUGAUGAGAAAAUUGCCCUCCUUGGUGCUAUUCAGUCCCUGUUUGAAGGUUCAAUGUAUACCUUCGUCUUCCUUUGGACUCCUGCUCUGAGCCCCAAUAAUGAGGAAAUUCCCCAUGGCUUCAUUUUUGCAACAUUCAUGUUAGCGUCUAUGUUAGGAAGUUCCCUAGCAUCUAGGUUACUGGCCCGCGCAUCAUUAAGGGUGGAGAACUAUAUGCAGAUUGUUUUCGUUGUCUCAGCUGCAUCUCUUGUUCUCCCAAUAGUUACAAGUUUCUUGGUAGAACCAUCCCAAGUGAAAGGUGGGAGCAUCUCUUUUUCAGGCUGCAUCCAGUUGGUUGGAUUCUGUGUCUUUGAGGCUUGUGUGGGUAUAUUCUGGCCAUCCAUUAUGAAAAUGAGAUCCCAAUACAUUCCUGAAGAGGCGAGGAGCACCAUUAUGAAUUUCUUCCGCAUUCCUCUUAAUAUCUUUGUGUGUGUCGUGCUGUACAACGUUGAUGCAUUCCCAAUCAGUGUCAUGUUCGGUAUGUGCUCAAUUUUCCUGUUCGUGGCCUCCAUCCUGCAGCGGCGCCUCUUGGUGAUAGUAGAGAAGCUAAAGAUAGAAAGCAGGCCUAGUUUCCGGGAAAAGGAUGCAGAGAUGGAACCCUUGAAUGCGUAAGGUCACAAGAACACAUAUCUGUGCUCCUCCUCAGUAGGAAGAAGAAAAAGGAUGUGAAAACCUCUCCUUAUCAGUCCGUAGGCUUGGGUUGUUUAAAGUUCAAAUAGUACAUAUCUUUUAAGAACUUUGAGGGAAAGUGCCAGUGAGGAAGUUGAGCCCCGAGAACGGGUGGACACGAGACGGUGUGCGAGUAAGGAUGCUGGGCUCUGAAGAGUAGUAGAUUAGAGUCCCACAUCGAUUAGAGAGCAAAACGAGUAUCAACGAAGAUGCUGAACUUCAAAGGGAGUGGAUUAGAGGGUGUCAACCGCGAAAGAGACUAGUCAAGACACUAGGGUUGUUUUAAAUUUUACUUUUAUUUUGUUGAUAUUGUAUUUUAUGACCACCUUCUUCCCACACGACCGCCGCCUUUGAAUCUUGGUUUUUUCAGAAAGUGGGCGGCGGCGGCGG